GUUCAUCCAGAGGACAAGGCCACAUGAAUUGUUUGCAGAGCUCCAGCAAAUAAACAGCGUUGCUCCUGAUUCCUCACUUGCCCAUUUUGAUCCAGUGGCCAGCUCAGAGGCCACAGAGCUCAGCUGCAGGGGGGUGACAGCUUGUUUUGGACCAUUCCCAUCCUCCCAGGUGGUGUGAAGGAGCACCAUGGAAGGAACUUCUGUCUGGAACCUUUCAAUUAUGGAUUUGGGAGGCAGUUUCCCCUAACAGCAAGCACCCAGCAGCCGGCAGCUGAUGGCUCAGUUGCUUUGCCUCAUGCACAAAACUUUCCACUUGUGCUUUUCAUCUGCCCAGCGGAGGGAAGUGCCUGCUCUGUGUCCUGCAGAAGGGAAACGUCUGCCCUCCUGUGUCCAAAGUCCCCUCCGGAGAGCAGCCCGGGGUGCACUGACCUCACGGGCAGCUGGACUGAAAUGAAAUGAAAUGACGUUAGCAUCAAUUAUCCUCCGGGACGGGGAGGCUGCCGGGAGAACGGACGGAACGGCGCAGAUUUCCUCAACGCUGAAUAACAAAUGAGAACAACAGCUUGGCUCGGUGGCUGUGUGUUCCCAGAGAGCUUCCAAAGCCCCACCUGCUCCAGCCCUUUGGGUUUGGGGUGCCAACUGCUGUGUGGGGGGGGGGGGGGGGGGGGGGGGGGGGGGGGGGGGGGGGGGGGGUCACUGCUCCGGGUACCACGGUGAGGCAGCGAGGGAGAUGCUCCUGGGGGAUAAACCUCAUUUUUGGAGUCUUGGUUGGUGGCUGCCGUGCUGGGGGAGAUUUUUUUGAGUGCACCAAGGGGGGGGGGGGGGGGGGGGGGGGGGGGGGGGGG
rnacentral:lncRNA from 1 species